AGAACGAACGCUGGCGGCAUGCCUAACACAUGCAAGUCGAACGGACCCUUCGGGGUUAGUGGCGCACGGGUGCGUAACGCGUGGGAAUCUGCCCUUAGGUUCGGAAUAACAGUUAGAAAUGACUGCUAAAUACCGGAUGAUGACUUCGGUCCAAAGAUUUAUCGCCUAAGGAUGAGCCCGCGUAGGAUUAGCUUGUUGGUGAGGUAAAGGCUCACCAAGGCUACGAUCCUUAGCUGGUCUGAGAGGAUGAUCAGCCACACUGGGACUGAGACACGGCCCAGACUCCUACGGGAGGCAGCAGUGGGGAAUAUUGCACAAUGGGCGAAAAGCCUGAUGCAGCGACGCCGCGUGAGGGAUGAAGGCCUUCGGGUCGUAAACCUCGUUUCGGCAGGGACGAAGCGAUCAGUGACGGUACCUGCAGAAGAAGCCCCGGACUAACUACGUGCCAGCAGCCGC
rnacentral:rRNA from 1 species